rnacentral:rRNA from 1 species
GAUCAUGGCUCAGAUUGAACGCUGGCGGCAUGCCUUACACAUGCAAGUCGAACGGCAGCACGGGAGCAAUCCUGGUGGCGAGUGGCGAACGGGUGAGUAAAGUAUCGGAACGUACCUUUCAGUGGGGGAUAACGUAGCGAAAGUUACGCUAAUACCGCAUAUUCUGUGAGCAGGAAAGCAGGGGAUCGCAAGACCUUGCGCUGAUUGAGCGGCCGAUAUCAGAUUAGCUAGUUGGUGGGGUAAAGGCCUACCAAGGCGACGAUCUGUAGCGGGUCUGAGAGGAUGAUCCGCCACACUGGAACUGAGACACGGUCCAGACUCCUACGGGAGGCAGCAGUGGGGAAUUUUGGACAAUGGGCGCAAGCCUGAUCCAGCCAUGCCGCGUGAGUGAAGAAGGCCUUCGGGUUGUAAAGCUCUUUCGGCCGGGAAGAAAUCGCAUGGGUUAAUACCCUGUGUGGAUGACGGUACCGGAAUAAGAAGCACCGGCUAACUACGUG